rnacentral:rRNA from 1 species
UACGGAGGAGGCAAGCGUUAUCCGGAAUUAUUGGGCGUAAAGCGUCCGUAGGUGGUUGGCCAAGUCAGCUGUCAAAGGGUGGGGCUUCACCUCAUAAAGGCAGUGGAAACUGGAGAGCUAGAGUGCGGUAGGGGUAGGGGGAAUUCCCAGUGUAGCGGUGAAAUGCGUAGAGAUUGGGAAGAACAUCGGUGGCGAAAGCGCCCUGCUGGGCCUGCACUGACACUGAGGGACGAAAGCUAGGGGAGCGCAAGGG